UACGGAGGAUGCAAGCGUUAUCCGGAAUGAUUGGGCGUAAAGCGUCCGCAGGUGGCUAUGUAAGUCUGCUGUUAAAGAGUGAGGCUCAACCUCAUAAGAGCAGUGGAAACUACAUAGCUAGAGUGCGUUCGGGGCAGAGGGAAUUCCUGGUGUAGCGGUGAAAUGCGUAGAUAUCAGGAAGAACACCGGUGGCGAAGGCAGCUCGCUGGGACGUUACUGACGCUGAGACGCGAAAGCGUGGGGAGCAAACAGG
rnacentral:rRNA from 1 species